rnacentral:rRNA from 1 species
AGAUUGAACGCUGGCGGCAGGCCUAACACAUGCAAGUCGAACGGUAGCACAGAGGAGCUUGCUCCUUGGGUGACGAGUGGCGGACGGGUGAGUAAUGUCUGGGAAACUGCCCGAUGGAGGGGGAUAACUACUGGAAACGGUAGCUAAUACCGCAUAACGUCGCAAGACCAAAGAGGGGGACCUUCGGGCCUCUUGCCAUCGGAUGUGCCCAGAUGGGAUUAGCUAGUAGGUGGGGUAACGGCUCACCUAGGCGACGAUCCCUAGCUGGUCUGAGAGGAUGACCAGCCACACUGGAACUGUGACACGGUCCAGACUCCUACGGGAGGCAGCAGUGGGGAAUAUUGCACAAUGGGCGCAAGCCUGAUGCAGCCAUGCCGCGUGUAUGAAGAAGGCCUUCGGGUUGUAAAGUACUUUCAGCGAGGAGGAAGGCGUUGUGGUUAAUAACCGCAGCGAUUGACGUUACUCGCAGAAGAAGCACCGGCUAACUCCGUGCCAGCCGCCGCGGUAAAAGGG